rnacentral:rRNA from 1 species
GACGUAGGGCGCGAGCGUUGUCCGGAUUUAUUGGGCGUAAAGAGCUCGUAGGCGGCUUGUCGCGUCGUCCGUGAAAACCUGCAGCUCAACUGCAGGCUUGCGGGCGAUACGGGCAGGCUCGAGUUCGGUAGGGGAGACUGGAAUUCCUGGUGUAGCGGUGAAAUGCGCAGAUAUCAGGAAGAACACCCGUGGCGAAAGCGGCGCUCUGGAACGGUACUGACGCUGAGACGCGAAAGCGUGGGGAGCGAACAGG